rnacentral:rRNA from 1 species
UGCAAGUCGAACGAAGUAGCAAUACUUAGUGGCAGACGGGUGAGUAACAUGUAGGUAUCUGCCCUUUGGCCUGGAAUAACACGAGGAAACUUGUGCUAAUACCGGAUAAGUCUUUACGGAGAAAGCUUUAUGCACCAUUGGAUGAGCCUGCACUUGAUUAGUUUGUUGGUAGGGUAAUGGCCUACCAAGACUUUGAUCAAUAGCUGAUUUGAGAGGAUGAUCAGCCACAUUGGGACUGAGACACGGCCCAAACUCCUACGGGAGGCAGCAGUGGGGAAUCUUGCACAAUGGAGGAAACUCUGAUGCAGCGAUGCCGCGUGAGUGAAGAAGGCCUUUGGGUUGUAAAGCUCUUUCGUCGGGGAAGAAAAUGACUGUACCCGAAUAAGAAGGUCCGGCUAACUUCGUGCCAGCAGCCGCGGUAAUACGAAGGGACCUAGCGUAGUUCGGAAUUACUGGGCUUAAAGAGUUCGUAGGUGGUUGAAAAAGUUGGUGGUGAAAUCCCAGAGCUUAACUCUGGAACUGCCAUCAAAACUUUUCAGCUAGAGUUUGAUAGAGGAAAGCAGAAUU